GAUGAACGCUGACAGAAUGCUUAACACAUGCAAGUCUUUGGCGAAGCUUGUGCUUGCACAGCCUAGCCAAGGCGGACGGGUGAGUAACGCGUAAGGGACUUGCCCGCAGUCAGGGAUAACAGACGGAAACGACUGAUAAAACCUGGUAAAGUCAGGCGGACUCAUGUCCAGCCUGAUGAAAAGGAAUGCUGCAGGAGAGCCUUGCGUCCUAUUAGCUUGUUGGUGGGGUAACGGCCCACCAAGGCGAUGAUAGGUAGCCGGCCUGAGAGGGUGGACGGCCACAAGGGGACUGAGAUACGGCCCUUACUCCUACGGGAGGCAGCAGUGGGGAAUAUUGGACAAUGGGGGCAACCCUGAUCCAGCAAUUCUGUGUGCACGAUGAAGGUCUUCGGAUUGUAAAGUGCUUUCAGCAGGGAAGAAAAAAAUGACGGUACCUGCAGAAGAAGCGACGG
rnacentral:rRNA from 1 species